rnacentral:rRNA from 1 species
CCUACGGGAGGCAGCAGUGAGGAAUAUUGGUCAAUGGGCGCGAGCCUGAACCAGCCAAGUAGCGUGAAGGAUGACUGCCCUACGGGUUGUAAACUUCUUUUAUAAAGGAAUAAAGUGAGGCACGUGUGCCUUUUUGCAUGUACUUUAUGAAUAAGCAUCGGCUAACUCCGUGCCAGCAGCCGCGGUAAUACGGAGGAUCCGAGCGUUAUCCGGGUUUAUUGGGUUUAAAGGGAGCGUAGAUGGGUUGUUAAGUCAGUUAGGAAAGUUUGCGGCUCAACCGUAACAUUGCAGUUGAUACUGGCAGUCUUGAGUACAGUUGAGGUAUGCGGAAUGCGUGGUGUAGCGGUGAAAUGCUUAGAUAUCACGAAGAACUCCGAUUGCGAAGGCAGCUUACUAAACUGCCACUGACAUUGAUGCUCGAAAGUGUGGGUAUCAAACAGGAUUAGAUACCCGGGUAGUC